rnacentral:rRNA from 1 species
CCCUAGUAACGGCGAGUGAAGCGGCAACAGCUCAAAUUUGAAAUCUGGCGUCUUUGGCGUCCGAGUUGUAAUUUGCAGAGGGCGCUUUGGCAUUGGCAGCGGUCCAAGUUCCUUGGAACAGGACGUCACAGAGGGUGAGAAUCCCGUACGUGGUCGCUAGCCUUUACCGUGUAAAGCCCCUUCGACGAGUCGAGUUGUUUGGGAAUGCAGCUCUAAAUGGGAGGUAAAUUUCUUCUAAAGCUAAAUACUGGCCAGAGACCGAUAGCGCACAAGUAGAGUGAUCGAAAGAUGAAAAGCACUUUGGAAAGAGAGUUAAAAAGCACGUGAAAUUGUUGAAAGGGAAGCGCUUGCAGCCAGACUUGCCUGUAGUUGCUCAUCCGGGUUUUUACCCGGUGCACUCUUCUACGGGCAGGCCAGCAUCAGUUUGGGCGGUUGGAUAAAGGUCUCUGUCAUGUACCUCCUCUCGGGGAGAUCUUAUAGGGGAGACGACAUGCAACCAGCCUGGACUGAGGUCCGCGCAUCUGCUAGGAUGCUGGCGUAAUGGCUGUAAGCGGCCCGUCUUGAAACACGGACCAAGGAGUCUAACAUCUAUGCGAGUGUUUGGGUGUCAAGCCCGAACGCGUAAUGAAAGUGAACGGAGGUGGGAACCUUUCGGGGUGCACCAUCGACCGAUCCUGAUGUCUUCGGAUGGAUUUGAGUAAAAGCAUAGCUGUUGGGACCCGAAAGAUGGUGAACUAUGCUUGAAUAGGGUGAAGCCAGAGGAAACUCUGGUGGAGGCUCGCAGCGGUUCUGACGUGCAAAUCGAUCGUCAAAUUUGGGCAUA